UGCUUGUCUUCCUGAUUAAGCCAUGCAUGUCUAAGCAUAAGCCGAAAAAUGGUGAAGCCGCGAAUAGCUCAUUACAACAGCCAUAGUUUAUUGGAUCUUCAUUCCUACUUGGAUACCUGUGGUAAUUCUAGAGCUAAUACACGCAGAAAAGCCGUGUCCUCUGGACAGGGCGCAUUUAUUAGAACAAAACCAAUCGGGCUUGCCCGUCAUUUGGUGAAUCUGAAUAACUCAGCUGAUCGCAUGGUCUUGUACCAGCGACGUAUCUUUCAAGUGUCUGCCUUAUCAACUUUCGAUGGUAGUUUAUGUGCCUACCAUGGUUGUAACGGGUAACGGAGAAUAAGGGUUCGACUCCGGAGAGGGAGCCUGAGAAACGGCUACCACAUCCAAGGAAG
rnacentral:rRNA from 1 species